rnacentral:rRNA from 1 species
UACGUAGGUGGCAAGCGUUAUCCGGAAUUAUUGGGCGUAAAGAGGGAGCAGGCGGCAGCAAAGGUCUGUGGUGAAAGACUGAAGCUUAACUUCAGUAAGCCAUAGAAACCGGGCAGCUAGAGUGCAGGAGAGGAUCGUGGAAUUCCAUGUGUAGCGGUGAAAUGCGUAGAUAUAUGGAGGAACACCAGUGGCGAAGGCGACGAUCUGGCCUGCGACUGACGCUCAGUCCCGAAAGCGUGGGGAGCAAAUAGG